rnacentral:rRNA from 1 species
GACGAACGCUGGCGGCGUGCUUAACACAUGCAAGUCGAACGGAAAGGCCCUGCUUUUGUGGGGUGCUCGAGUGGCGAACGGGUGAGUAACACGUGAGUAACCUGCCCUUGACUUUGGGAUAACUUCAGGAAACUGGGGCUAAUACCGGAUAGGAGCUCCUGCUGCAUGGUGGGGGUUGGAAAGUUUCGGCGGUUGGGGAUGGACUCGCGGCUUAUCAGCUUGUUGGUGGGGUAGUGGCUUACCAAGGCUUUGACGGGUAGCCGGCCUGAGGGGGUGACCGGCCACAUUGGGACUGAGAUACGGCCCAGACUCCUACGGGAGGCGGCAGUGGGGAAUAUUGCACAAUGGGCGGAAGCCUGAUGCAGCAACGCCGCGUGCGGGAUGACGGCCCUCGGGUUGUAAACCGCUUUCGCCUGUGACGAAGCGUGAGUGACGGUAAUGGGUAAAGAAGCACCGGCUAACUACGUG